AAAUGUAUUGAUGAGAAACCUUGGUAUUCCAGCUUGAAACCAGGGAGCCUUUCGUAGUUCAGCUUCUUCACUGCGGUUGUUAAGGCUAUCCGUUCUUUCAGGAAGAGGCGGUGGGGUCGGCGUGGAACCAUGUGUACUUCCAUCAGCGGGCACCGAACUGCUCGAGGUACUGAUCUGAGAUCUUCUCUUCGAUUUGAAUUCUGUUUCCGUGCCAGAGCUGGGAGAAUUAUGUCCUAUCCUUGAUGGAGGCGUUGAUGGUAUUGUCCAGACUCUCAGAUGGGGGUAUCUUGUUGUACGCCGGCCUCGUGCCCUCGGACUCGAUGAUCGCCUCGUUUAUAUAACCCCCAGAAUGCGGCCUGUUUGACGGGCUCGUCGGUGUGCUGCUACCACUGACGAGGGGGCAGCUGUCAUCCUCACCGUUCAACCCAAGAACGUCACGUCCACCUGUCAAACCCAUCGCCAGCCGCUUUAUCAGAGGCGGCUUGUCCGUUAGUCUCUUGUACGAAUUUAGCUCCGUAGGUGAGUUGCUCUCAUCGCUGCUCGGCGUGCUCUGCUGAGAGAUACUCUUUGGCUCAUCCUCGUUCGUUAUUGGGCCGAGAACGUUGGUGAAGUUGUGCGUCGGCCGUAGACCCGGGAUCGAGUUCGGUGUCUGAUUCGGUGCAAAGAAAUGGUUGAUCAGUCUCCAUGAUACGUACGACUUAACCACGACGUUCCAAGACAUUUCUAACGCGAGAGAAAUGCGAGUGUAAACGCGGAUUCGAUUUUUUUUAAUCUUUUCCCUUAUCUAGAACGAUAUUAUGGAAACUUGUGUUUUUUGUUUAUCAUCGAGUAAAAUUAAGAUAAUGUUCGUUAUAAACAAUAAUGAAAUUUUCUCUCCGAGGAAAAUUAUUUCGAAGAUGUAAGAAAUAAAUAAGGCGUUCAAUAAGAUCUUGAUGAAUUUUAAUGUA